rnacentral:rRNA from 1 species
CCUACGGGAGGCAGCAGUGAGGAAUAUUGGUCAAUGGGCGCGAGCCUGAACCAGCCAAGUAGCGUGAAGGAUGACUGCCCUACGGGUUGUAAACUUCUUUUAUAAAGGAAUAAAGUGAGCCACGUGUGCCUUCUUUUAUGUACUUUAUGAAUAAGGAUCGGCUAACUCCGUGCCAGCAGCCGCGGUAAUACGGAGGAUCCGAGCGUUAUCCGGAUUUAUUGGGUUUAAAGGGAGAGUAGAUGGGUUGUUAAGUUAGUUGUGAAAGUUUGGGGCUCAACCGUAAAAUUGCAAUUGAUACUGGCAGCCUUGAGUACAGUAGAGGUAGGCGGAAUGCGUGGUGUAGCGGUGAAAUGCUUAGAUAUCACGAAGAACUCCGAUUGCGAAGGCAGCUUACUAAACUGCCACUGACAUUGAUGCUCGAAAGUGUGGGUAUCAAACAGGAUUAGAUACCCGAGUAGUC